rnacentral:rRNA from 1 species
ACGUAGGUGGCAAGCGUUGUCCGGAUUUACUGGGUGUAAAGGGCGUGCAGCCGGGCCGACAAGUCAGAUGUGAAAUCCCGAGGCUUAACCUCGGAACUGCAUUUGAAACUGUUGGUCUUGAGUAUCGGAGAGGUCAUCGGAAUUCCUUGUGUAGCGGUGAAAUGCGUAGAUAUAAGGAAGAACACCAGUGGCGAAGGCGGAUGACUGGACGACAACUGACGGUGAGGCGCGAAAGCGUGGGGAGCGAACAG